rnacentral:lncRNA from 1 species
UCCCACAUAGACCAACGGAAAGGGGGUGAUGUGCCUUAUAUGUACAUGCUCCCCUCCCUAUAGCACGAGGCCUUUUGGGAACUCACUGGCUUCGAAUUCCAUUAGAACUCCAAAGUUAAGCGAGUUUGGGCAAGAGCGGUCAUAGGAUGGGUGAUGCGAAAAUUAACUUAACACACAAAUUAAACCCUCUUGUUGUCAAAUUGUAGUAUAAAUGCAAGUAGGGAUCGUUCUAAACCGAGGAUUAGGAGGGCUUGCUAAAACCUCUAAACUGACUUAAAAACAUAUAAACAAAGUUAAAAAUACUAAACUAGACUCGAAGAACUUAAAACAAACUUAAAGGACUCAAAACAAGCUAAAAACGCUCAAAUCUUCCUAAAAACACAAACUGGGCAGAUUUGGACUCUAACGUACUUUUGGGACACCUAAAAACACAAAUCAAAACAGAUUUUGACUAAUAAAACACUUUAAAGUAAAGGAGGUUUUGGUUUUGACGAAUUUGAAAACAAAACAAGUAAAUUAAAGAACUAAUGAAAUCUGCACGAAUUUGAGU